CUGUUUUCUAGGUAAUGCUGCAAAAGGGGAAGAGGUCAUAUCCGCCUGACAGACACACUGAAGAGGUUCUCUUUUCAAACUUUGCACCACUGUUUACCACAUAACAGUGAAUGAAUCAUGGGAUAAGACAUAAACUGUGGUUGCACCACUGAGACUUUGAAAGACUGAAAUCCUUCACAUGAAGAACAUAAUGGACUAAAUUUCAAAGGUAGUCUCGGUUAGAAUUCCAUUUUCAUUUUGAAUGUGACUUUUUGGUCUUUACAGAGAAAAAAGUGUAUAAGAAAGCAGUAUCACAAGAAUGGCAAGUACACCCAGGACAGCUGCUGAGAGUCCAGGAAUUUCCAGAUCUCCUAACAAGUAGCAUCCUCAAAGGAUAUUCAGAGACCACUGGAUUCCUGAGAAAAAGUUGGCUAUCUUUUUCUAAAAGGGUCCAGUCAUUCCUAUCUUCUAAUUCGAGACAGAGGCUGUAAAGAA
rnacentral:lncRNA from 1 species